UAGGAUUUGGUUAGGAUUUGGUUAGGAUUUAGGAUUUGGUUUAGGAUUUAGGAUUUAGUUCAGGGUUUAAGGUUUUAUUAGGAUUUGAUUUAGGAUUUAGGAUUUAGUUCAGGAUUUAAGGUUUUAUUAGGAUUUGAUUUAGGAUUUAGGAUUUUGUUAGGAUUUGAUUCAAAGUUAGGGUUUAGUUAAGGUUUGAUUUAGGGUUAGGAUUUGAUUAGGAUUUGAUUUAGGAUUUAAGGUUUGAUUAGGAUUUGGUUUAGAGUUUAGGAUUUGAUUAAGAUUUGAUUUAGGAUUUGAUUAGGAUUUGGCUUAGGAUUUGAUUAGGAUUUGGCUUAGGAUUUAGGAUUUUAUUAGGCUUUGUUUAGGGUUUAAGAUUUAGUUAGUUUUUGGCCUAAAGUUUGAAUGAAGUCCAAUAGGAUUUUAACUAGGAUUAAAUUAAGAUUGAAUUGAGAUAUAUUUGAGAUAUAUUUGUGAUCAUUGUAAUAUUUCUUUAAGAUUUUUUAUUAUUUCUUUGUAAUUUCUUUGAGGUUUCUUUGAAUUUGAUUAAAACUUACUUAGCAUUGUUAUGGUUUAAUUAGAGUUUAGUUAAUAUUCUAUUAAAAUUAGGAUUUUAUUAUUGUAAUUUCUAUUCUACCUUCUAUAGCCAAGUGCUCAGAGCAUUCUCAAGUAAGACUUCAUAUAUUACG
rnacentral:lncRNA from 1 species